rnacentral:rRNA from 1 species
AGAUCGUAGGCUGCAACUCGCCUACGUGAAGGAGGAAUCGCUAGUAAUCGCAGGUCAGCAUACUGCGGUGAAUACGUUCCCGGGCCUUGUACACACCGCCCGUCACACCAUGGAAGUUGGCCACGCCCGAAGUCGUUACUCCAACCCUCUGGGAGGAGGACGCCGAAGGUGGGGCUGAUGACUGGGGUGAAGUCGUAACAAGGUAGCCGUACCGGAAGGUGCGGCUGGAUCACCUCCUAA